rnacentral:rRNA from 1 species
UACGUAGGGUCCGAGCGUUGUCCGGAGUUACUGGGCGUAAAGAGCGUGUAGGCGGUCAGGUAGGUCGGUUGUGAAAACUGGAGGCUCAACCUUCAGAGGUCGACCGAAACCCCCUGGCUAGAGUCCGGGAGAGGAGAGUGGAAUUCCUGGUGUAGCGGUGAAAUGCGUAGAUAUCUGGAGGAGCACCGGUGGCGAAGGCGGCAUCCUGGACCGAGAUUGACGCUGGAGGCGCGAAAGCUAGGGGGAGCAAACGGG